AUAAAACUGAAACGUGCUGUCCUUUAUCCGGGCGAACUGCAAAUCCCUAUAAGCUGUCCUAUAGAUAUUGAACGACUGAGUCUGGAUAACUUCAAAAAAGGAUGUUUAUUCAUACAAGGUUGUAAACCUGGCACAGAUCUUAAAGUUGCAGAAAAUGAAACAAAUUUCCAUAGGUUUUAGUUGCAGAAUUAUCCCUGGUUCCAGAAGGCAAAAGUGAUUAUAAAACCACUAUACCCUAAUCACGCUGCCUAUAUUAGAAGGAGAAACUCUUUCCUUCCCUAUCUUUACAGCAAAGAUUAGUUCUAGAAGCGAUGGAAUAACUUUGCUCCUCUAACUAGAUUUCCUAUUCCAGGCCAAUCUAAGCCUAUCCAAAUUAGAUAAGUAUUGAAUUAUAUUGAUCUGGAAUAGGAAAUCUAGUUAGAGGAGCAGAGUUAUUCCAUCGCUUCUAGAACUAAUCUUUGCUGUAAAGAUAGGGAAGGAAAGAGUUUCUCCUUCUAAUAUAGGCAGCGUGAUUAGGGUAUAGUGGUUUUAUAAUCACCUUUGCCUUCUGGAACCAGGGAUAAUUCUGUAACUAAAACCUAUAGAAAUUUGUUUCAUUUUCUGCAACUUUAAGAUCUGUGCCAGGUUUACAACCUUGUAUGAAUAAACAUCCUUUUUUGAAGUUC